AAUUGCUUUUACAUAUUCAUAAGAAACCCGACUACGCUUAUACAUAUGUACAAUCAGAAAAGGUAACAAUUGAAACAUAAACAUGGCAAAGUUUUCUGAAUUCUGGUAAGUGUUUAGCAAACAAUCCUUUAAGUCUAUUACUAUUAAUGUCCAUGACUGGGGGAGCAUAGUUGGAGCUGGUAAUCCUGGUUGAAGUGCUCCCAUAUCUUCCAUGACUUCAUUAAUUUUUCUCAGAUCAUAUAACAGUCUCCAUUUUCCAUUCCUUUUCUUGAUUACAAACACCGGAGAAUUCCAGGGCAAGUCUCGCUUUAAGUUGUUAAGCAACUCGGCCUUCGGGCCUUAUGUAUCCUCUUCCUCCUGGAUCGAAGGGAAACAGAUCCGGCUCCUUUUUAUAGGGCCUGGAUCAAAAGGAACGUUCAGGUCACCAGGGGGCGUAACAGCAAAGGCUUGCGAUGCCAGAGACGGGCAGUUGUGUGCGCGGGUCUGCUUCUCUCAGCUUGAGUUUCUUUCCAGCUCCGGUGCACCUAUUUCCAGCGACUUUCUAUAUGAGCUUCUUUGAGCGGUUUUCUGAGUUUGGCCGAACCUAUCUUCAUGAGGCGAUCAAUGUCCCUGUUCCUGUCCUGGUCCCUGUUCUGCUAGCCUGUCCCUAUUCAUUCAUUUUUUCUACUUCUUUAUUGAUGACAUAACUUCAUUAUAUCGUGUUGCACUGCCAUCUUGAGGACAGGCUCCCCUCAUAUACCCUUCGCCCCACAGCAGUUCUUUUC